GAACGCUGGCGGCAGGCCUAACACAUGCAAGUCGAGCGGCAGCACGGGAAGCUUGCUUCCUGGUGGCGAGCGGCGGACGGGUGAGUAAUGCAUAGAAAUCUGCCCGGUAGUGGGGGAUAACCUGGGGAAACCCAGGCUAAUACCGCAUACGUCCUACGGGAGAAAGCAGGGGAUCUUCGGACCUUGCGCUAUCGGAUGAGUCUAUGUCGGAUUAGCUUGUUGGUGAGGUAAUGGCUCACCAAGGCGACGAUCCGUAGCUGGUCUGAGAGGAUGAUCAGCCACAUCGGGACUGAGACACGGCCCGAACUCCUACGGGAGGCAGCAGUGGGGAAUAUUGGACAAUGGGCGAAAGCCUGAUCCAGCCAUCCCGCGUGUGUGAAGAAGGCCUUCGGGUUGUAAAGCACUUUCAGUGGGGAAGAAAGCCUUGGGACUAAUACCCUCGAGGAAGGACAUCACCCACAGAAGAAGCACCGGCUAACUCCGUGCCAGCAGCCGCGUUAAUACGGAGGGUGCGAGCGUUAAUCGGAAUUACUGGGCGUAAAGCGCGCGUAGGCGGUCUGAUAAGCCGGUUGUGAAAGCCCCGGGCUCAACCUGGGAACGGCAUCCGGAACUGUCAGGCUAGAGUGCAGGAGAGGAAGGUAGAAUUCCCGGUGUAGCGGUGAAAUGCGUAGAGAUCGGGAGGAAUACCAGUGGCGAAGGCGGCCUUCUGGACUGACACUGACGCUGAGGUGCGAAAGCGUGGGUAGCAAACAGGAUUAGAUACCCUGGUAGUCCAGCCCGGUAAACGAUGUCGACUAGCCGUUGGGCUCCUUGAGAGCUUUGUGGCGCAGUUAACGCGAUAAGUCGACCGCCUGGGGAGUACGGCCGCAAGGUUAAAACUCAAAUGAAUUGACGGGGGCCCGCACAAGCGGUGGAGCAUGUGGUUUAAUUCGAUGCAACGCGAAGAACCUUACCUACCCUUGACAUCGUGCGAACUUUCCAGAGAUGGAUUUGGUGCCUUCGGGAACGCACAAACAGGUGCUGCAUGGCUGUCGUCAGCUCGUGUUGUGAAAUGUUGGGUUAAGUCCCGUAACGAGCGCAACCCUUGUCCUUAUUUGCCAGCGAGUAAUGUCGGGAACUCUAAGGAGACUGCCGGUGACAAACCGGAGGAAGGUGGGGACGACGUCAAAUCAUCAUGGCCCUUACGGGUAGGGCUACACACGUGCUACAAUGGCCGGUACAAAGGGUUGCGAAGCCGCGAAGGUGGGAGCUAAUCCCGAAAAACUGGUCUCAGUCCGGAUCGGAGUCUUCAACUCGACUCCGUGAAGUCGGAAUCGCUAGUAAUCGUGAAUCAGAAUGUCACGGUGAAUACGUUCCCGGGCCUUGUACACACCGCCCGUCACACCAUGGGAGUGGACUGCACCAGAAGUGGUUAGCCUAACUUCGGAGGGCGAUCACCACGGUGUGGUUCAUGACUGGGGUGAAGUCGUAACAAGGUAUCCGU
rnacentral:rRNA from 1 species